rnacentral:tRNA from 1 species
GGAGAAGACUUGGUGAACCGACGGAGGACCCGGGUUCGAUUCCCGGCACCUCCACCA